rnacentral:rRNA from 1 species
AGAGCGAACGCUGGCGGCAGGCCUAACACAUGCAAGUCGAGCGCCCGUAGCAAUACGGGAGCGGCAGACGGGAUAGUAACACGUGGGAACGCGCCCUUCGGUUCGGAAUAACUCAGGGAAACUUGAGCUAAUACCGGAUACGCCCUUACGGGGAAAGAUUUAUUGCCGAAGGAACGGCCCGCGUCCGAUUAGCUAGUUGGUGAGGUAAUGGCUCACCAAGGCGACGAUCGGUAGCUGGUCUGAGAGGAUGACCAGCAUCACUGGGACUGAGACACGGCCCAGACUCCUACGAGAGGCAGCAGUGGGGAAUAUUGGACAAUGGGCGCAAGCCUGAUCCAGCAAUGCCGCGUGAGUGAUGAAGGCCUUCGGGUUGUAAAGCUCUUUCGCACGCGACGAUGAUGACGGUAGCGUGAGAAGACGCCCGGCUAACUUCGUCGCCAGCACGCCGC